GCUUUAUGGAUAGCUCAGAUGGUUUGAGUGUGGUGCUGGUAACGCCAAGGUUGCAGGAUCCAUCCCUGUAUGAGACA